rnacentral:rRNA from 1 species
UAUAUUAAGUUGUUGCAGUUAAAAAGCUCGUAGUUGAAUUUUAGGCCUGGCCAGACGGUCUGUCUUUGGCGAGUACUGUCCUGUGUUGGGUCUUCCUUCUGGUGAACCAGUAUGUCCUUUAUUGGGUGUGCCGGGGAGCCAGGACCAUUACCUUGAAAAAAUUAGA